UGAGGAACAGCAGCCAAUAACCGGACAUUGGUGCUUUAAAUUCUGCCCCGGGUCAUUCAAAGCGCACAGCCACGCGCUAUACUGAGGAAAGAGGAAGAGGGUUGAUGGAAUCUAAAGACCAAUGUAAAGAUAAUUUUGACAUCUUAUGUUUUCUGCAGGAGCAGUCACAUUAUUUCAGAUAGUAGUUAAGAGAUGAACGACCUCCGCAGGGGGGAAAGACCAUCAGCCGUGCCAGAAAACAGCCUGUUACUGAAUGGAGACCGUUCCCAUUGGGAUACAUGGAGUGUGGAGGAGUGUUUUGGAACAAACAACCACAAAAUCUUACUUGGAUUGCCAACAAGCCAUGACAGAUUGACUCUGGUAGAUUGUGUAUCAGUGCCACAGCGACUAAACGGCAGACUGUUUAUAGAUUAAUGCUUCUUCAACUAAAUGUACAAAUUUGCACAGCAGCCUUCUGACCCCGCAGAGAGGAGGAAACCUCUGACACUCCUCACUGAAAUGCCUGCUAUCUUCUGUUGGUAUUUAUAGGCUGUCGCUCCAGUGAUAAGGUGGCACUGGCGGUCUGGAGGGAGACAGAGAGAAACGAGGACUGACCUUCUCAGACGGAGAGUGUGAGCUCUGCCACUGUCCUCCACAUCAUCUAGAUGACCGCUUCACCUUGCCUUUGAGACACUGCGCAGCGUUUCUGUUUAAGGGUGAUUGUGUGUGUGUAGGUGAGAGUGAUGAAAAGAUACCUGAAGUAGCAAUAGUAGAAAAAUUUCCUCUUGCUUCUUUGCAUGCAGUAUAUCUCUGCUUGUCUGACUCUGCACAAUAAAGAUCACUGUGAUGACACAACAA